rnacentral:rRNA from 1 species
UGCGUAGGCGGUUUGUUAAGUCAUUUGUAAAAGAUCUCAGCCUAACUGAGUAAGGCGAGUGAAACUGACAGACUUGAAUACGGUAGAGGUAAGUGGAAUUCCAUGUGUAGCGGUGGAAUGCGUAGAUAUAUGGAGGAACACCAACGGCGAAGGCAACUUACUGGGCCGGAAUUGACGCUGAGGCACGAAAGCGUGGGGAGCAAACAGGAUUAGAUACCCUGGUAGUCC